rnacentral:misc_RNA from 1 species
GAUGAAGAACGCAGCGAAGUGCGAUAAGCAAUGCGAAUUGCAGAAUUCCGCGAAUCAUCAGAUUUUUGAACGCAAAUGGCGCCAGAGGGAUAUCCUUCUGGCAUGUCUGUUUCAGUGUCUGAGAGGUUUCACACUAAUCUUAAUGUGAUUGAACUGAGUUAGUUAGUUUACUCUAACUUUCGUCUUUUCUCUCAUGAAAGAUGCGCGAGGGGAUCUUUCGGUCCAAUGAAGUGGUCACAUCACUCGAAUGUGAUUUCGUUGGAAGCACCGAAUUAUCACAUAAAAACUCGCGGUAUCAUAUUUUCAUAGUAUUGAUGAUGAAUAAUCAUCCGUACUACUCUCUACACCCUGCAUCUGAGAUAGGCAAGAUCACCCGCUGAACUUAAGCAUAUCAAUAAGCGGAGGA